GAAAUGCGAUAAGUAGUGUGAAUUGCAGAAUUUAGCGAAUCAUCGAAUCUUUGAACGCACAUUGCGCCCCUUGGUAUUCCAUGGGACAUGCCUGUUCGAGCGUCAUUUCAACCCUCAAGCACUGCUUGGUGUUGGGUGUUUGUCCCGCCUACGCGCGUGGACUCGCCUCAAAGUCAUUGGCAGCUGUUCCCCUUCGGCUCGUAAGCGCAGCACAGUCGGCGCCCGGAGCUCUGGUGGGAUGGCGUCCAGCAAGCUAUAUUUUCAGGCUUGACCUCGGAUCAGGUAGGGAUACCCGCUGAACUUAAGC
rnacentral:misc_RNA from 1 species